rnacentral:rRNA from 1 species
ACCACGACUUCUCGACAAUGGAUAUC